rnacentral:rRNA from 1 species
AGAGCGAACGCUGGCGGCAGGCCUAACACAUGCAAGUCGAGCGGCCGUAGCAAUACGGCAGCGGCAGACGGGAGAGUAACACGUGGGAACGCGCCCUUCGGUUCGGGAUAACUCAGGGAAACUUGGGCUAAUACCGGAUACGCCCUUACGGGGAAAGAUUUAUUGCCGAAGGAACGGCCCGCGUCCGAUUAGCUUGUUGGUGAGGUAACGGCUCACCAAGGCGACGAUCGGUAGCUGGUCUGAGAGGAUGACCAGCCUCACUGGGACUGAGACACGGCCCAGACUCCUACGGGAGGCAGCAGUGGGGAAUAUUGGACAAUGGGCGCAAGCCUGAUCCAGCCAUGCCGCGUGGGUGAUGAAGGCCCUAGGGUUGUAAAGCCCUUUCGGCGGGGAAGAUAAUGACGGUACCCGCAGAAGAAGCCCGGCUAACUUCGCGCCAGCAGCCGC